rnacentral:rRNA from 1 species
CCUACGGGAGGCAGCAGUAGGGAAUCUUCCGCAAUGGACGAAAGUCUGACGGAGCAACGCCGCGUGAGCGAUGAAGGCCUUCGGGUCGUAAAGCUCUGUUGUCAGGGAAGAACAAGUACCGGAGUAACUGCCGGUACCUUGACGGUACCUGACCAGAAAGCCACGGCUAACUACGUGCCAGCAGCCGCGGUAAUACGUAGGUGGCAAGCGUUGUCCGGAAUUAUUGGGCGUAAAGCGCGCGCAGGCGGUCCUUUAAGUCUGAUGUGAAAGCCCACGGCUCAACCGUGGAGGGUCAUUGGAAACUGGGGAACUUGAGUGCAGAAGAGAAAAGCGGAAUUCCACGUGUAGCGGUGAAAUGCGUAGAGAUGUGGAGGAACACCAGUGGCGAAGGCGGCUACCUGGACCGAUACUGACGCUGAGACGCGAAAGCGUGGGUAGCAAACAGGAUUAGAUACCCUGGUAGUCCACGCCGUAAACGAUGAGUGCUAGGUGUCGCGGGUAUUGACCCCUGCGGUGCCGCAGCUAACGCAUUAAGCACUCCGCCUGGGGAGUACGGCCGCAAGGUUAAAACUCAAAGGAAUUGACGG